rnacentral:rRNA from 1 species
UUUAUUGGAGAGUUUGAUCCUGGCUCAGGACGAACGCUGGCGGCAUGCCUAAUACAUGCAAGUCGAGCGGACUUGAAGAGAAGCUUGCUUCUCUGAUGGUUAGCGGCGGACGGGUGAGUAACACGUAGGCAACCUGCCCUCAAGUUUGGGACAACUACCGGAAACGGUAGCUAAUACCGAAUAGUUGUUUUCUUCGCCUGAAGGAAACUGGAAAGACGGAGCAAUCUGUCACUUGGGGAUGGGCCUGCGGCGCAUUAGCUAGUUGGUGGGGUAACGGCUCACCAAGGCGACGAUGCGUAGCCGACCUGAGAGGGUGAUCGGCCACACUGGGA